GAAUUCGCCCUUAGAGUCUUAUCCAGGCUCAGGACGAACGCUGGCGGCGUGCUUAACACAUGCAAGUCGAACGAGAAUCUAUGGACGGAGUUUUCGGACAACUGAAGUAGAGGACAGUGGCGGACGGGUGAGUAACGCGUGAGGAACCUGCCUUUCAGUGGGGGACAACAGUUGGAAACGACUGCUAAUACCGCAUAACAUACGGAGACCGCAUGAUUUCCGUAUCAAAGAUUUAUUGCUGAAAGAUGGCCUCGCGUCUGAUUAGAUAGUUGGUGAGGUAACGGCUCACCAAGUCGACGAUCAGUAGCCGGACUGAGAGGUUGAACGGCCACAUUGGGACUGAGAUACGGCCCAGACUCCUACGGGAGGCAGCAGUGGGGAAUAUUGGGCAAUGGGGGCAACCCUGACCCAGCAACGCCGCGUGAAGGAAGAAGGCUUUCGGGUUGUAAACUUUUUUGGCAGGGGACGAAGCAAUGACGGUACCCUGAGAACAAGCCACGGCUAACUACGUGCCAGCAGCCGCGGUAAUACGUAGGUAGCAAGCGUUGUCCGGAAUGACUGGGCGUAAAGGGUGCGUAGGUUGCUUGGCAAGUUGGUAGUGAAAUUCCGAGGCUUAACUUCGGCGCUACUACCAAGACUGCUGAGCUUGAGUACAGGAGAGGUAAGUGGAAUUCCUAGUGUAGCGGUGGAAUGCGUAGAUAUUAGGAGGAACACCAGUGGCGAAGGCGACUUACUGGCCUGCAACUGACACUGAGGCACGAAAGCGUGGGGAGCAAACAGGAUUAGAUACCCUGGUAGUCCACGCUGUAAACG
rnacentral:rRNA from 1 species